AGAGGAGAGCGUAUAUGAACCGUAGGUUCAUAUUUUGGGAUACGCUCGACGAUCUACCGCCGAGCGUAUGCGAGGGGGUAUUACC
rnacentral:sRNA from 1 species